rnacentral:rRNA from 1 species
UACGUAGGGGGCAAGCGUUGUCCGGAAUCAUUGGGCGUAAAGCGCGUGUAGGCGGCUUGGUAAGUCCGCUCUGAAAGCCCGGGGCUCAACCCCGGGAGGCGGGUGGAUACUGUCAAGCUCGAGUCCGGAAGAGGCGAGUGGAAUUCCUGGUGUAGCGGUGAAAUGCGCAGAUAUCAGGAGGAACACCAAUGGCGAAGGCAGCUCGCUGGGACGUGACUGACGCUGAGGUGCGAAAGCGUGGGGAGCAAACAGG